rnacentral:lncRNA from 10 species
AAUCCCCCUCACUCUGUCAGCAUAAUCCUAGGUAUUGCUGCUUCUCUUGGGACACGUACUUAUUUCUAUUUCUUACUUUUCUGACCGAAUUCCAAUAAUUACCUCAUAACCCAAGGAAGCUGCCCUUUUUUCUUAUUAUUCCUCUUAUCUUUUCUCUUUCUCUUCUCAUAAACAGUGGUUCUGUUGUCUAUAAGACUUUCACUUUCAAGCAUAGGUCUGUAUAUCAAAGUUAAACUAUUUUAAUUGAACCAAAAGGUUUUCAGGGCCUGCAAGACUAGCUACUUAAAAAUAUAGAUAUAUUAAUUAGACACAGGCUCAAAACCUUAUUGUAUCAUGAAGGGAGGAAUGGGUAAGUGUGAACAAGUAAAUAAAUAACCACUAAAAUGAGAACUAAGGUGAACAUGAGAGGUGCAAAGUCUUUUGGGGGCCAAAGCAGAGAGAAAUCCCAUAUGUUUAAAGAAUCAGGGAAAGCAUCAUGGUAGAAAUAGAUUUCAAAGAUUGAGACUGCAUCGUUGUCAAUCCUAGACCCAGGAGGAAAGUUAAUAGAAUAGAAAAGUAAGGACAUGUUGAAGGAACAGUGAAUGGUACCACUUGGCCAAAAUAGACCUCACAUGUAAGAAAGUCAUGGCACAUAUGUCUCUAAGAUAACUUGGUCCACAUGUUUUCCUACUUCAUUUUCUUGGAAAUGAUGAAUAAGUGAAGUCUUCUGAGCAGAAGGGUGUCCUAAUCAGAGCACACAUGAGGAAGAAAAACCAACCAGCAGUGAAUGCGGUGAAUCCAAAUGUCUGAAGCAGGAGCAAGAGCCAUGUCGGGAGCCGCAACAAUUGUCCAGACAAGAAGCAACACAGUCCUGAACUGAGCAGGCCACAACGGAAGGAAGAAAGGAGAAAAAAAACGUGGAAUGAGCAUCUGCAUUUCAGGAACUGCAUGAGGUCCUUGAUGCAUAUUAUUCCAUUUAAUGGAAAAGAAAAGUGAGUAUGAGAGGCAUAACCACGAUUAGGGAAAAGAAUGAGAUCAGUAUUUAUUUAGGACUCCACAUAAAAUGUGCAGCUCUCAUCCAAUCCUCUCAAUUGGCUAGGUAGGGAAUGUUAUAUUCCCUGCUUUAUACAUAAGGAUAUCAAGACUCUGGUGAGCUUAACUAACUGGCUCAAGACCAAAAGGGUAGUAAGUAGCAAAACCAUGAUCUGAACUCAGACUUAUCUGACAGCAAAAUAGAUGCUCUUCCCACCCUGUGUACCACAAAGCCUAUAGAAUCUUCCUUACUCCAUAAUUUAGUAGGCACAGGGUGUGAGAAGUAAGGACGAAUAAAAAAUUACUUGUGAGUUGUGAAAGAUGAUUCAUUAAUAGUGGUGUCAUUUAUAAAAACAAAAUAGAGACAAUCAGUUGGAGUUUGGAGUUUGAUGAACAUAAGUUAAUGGGCUUCAUUUUAGAUACACUGAGUUUAAAAUCCUGGCUGGUUACCUAAGUAAGAAAGUCUUAACAGCAAUUGGAAAUUGCUAGAUUUUAGAAUCAUCAGGAGAAAGAUUUUGAGAUGAAGGGAAAAAAGAUUGAAGAAAUUCAUGUGUAAAGCAAUGUGAGUAGAUAAGAAGUCACAUGAGGCAAAGAAUGUGGAGAAGAUUUUAUUUUAUUUAUGGAGCAGUAGAAAGAAAAAGCAGCUAGUGAAGGAGGUGGAAGAGAAGUUUCCAGAAAGAUAAAAGAACCAGCAGGCUAUGGUAUCACAGAGGCUAUAGAAGGAGAACAUUCAACAAACUGAAAUUUCUGCAGAGACAACAGGGAGAAUGAGGACUGAGACAAGUCCAUUAGAUUUGUUGGAUAUGAAACUAAACUCUCAGUGAUUUUCCAGAAGGUGGUUUCAUAGAGGGGUAAAGGUAGAAACCAUAUUACAAGGGGUUAAGAAGUGAAUGUAUAAGCAGGAAGUGAAAGCAGAAUUUGUAUUCUUUUAGAAGAAGUGUGGUAAUAAACGGAAGAAAGAUAAGGCAGUAACCUGCUACAGCAGCAGGGUCAGAGGGGGGUUAUUUUAGGAUACAGAGGGCUGGCCAUAUUUGUGGCAGAGGAGGAGAGAUUGGAGAUUGAAGAUGGAAGAAAGAUAGGGCUUAAAGGAUGGAGCAAAACUGAGAGGAGGUGAGCAGUAAUAGAAUUAAGAGCAGUGUUCUUGGCAAGGAAAAAAGCAAGUUACCUUGUGCUGAGGUAGAAAAAAGGAAAAGAGGGUAACCCUUCAAGAGAUAUUGAGAGAAUUCACGUGGACUGUCCUCAUUCUCAGUAAAACAUAAAAUGAAUAGCCAAUAUCAGGAAGAGAAAAAGAUUUUCUCCAAAAGACUGGAGCUCAUAUUCUAAAGGGAAGAAAAAUGUUUAUGUUGGUCACAAAUAGAAAUUCAGUUUUGCAACAUUAUCAAACUUCAACAAUUUCUCAGGGCUACUCUCUAUAGCAUGUAUUUCCUUUCCCAGAAUCAAAGCUGUUGUUCUCUAAAAGUACACGUAUUUCCCUUGGACUGCAUGGUUAUAAUUUGGACAAGGAAGAUAGCCCUUUUGGUUGUCAGAAAUAAAGCAACUCUCUGGACUCUUAACUGUGUUCUUUUGAGAAGAAAGUUCAAGAUGUUCACUUAGUAAUGUUUGCCAAAGCAAGCACUGUUCUCAAUGUUUUUUAUCAAAGCCUAUCGAUUAUAUGAUUUUAAUUUGUCUACAAGUAACCAAUACCAUCUUUUAGCAAAACAUUCUAUUUCAUGUGGAUUAGAAACAGAAAUUUUAAAAUAGCCUCAGUUACUGGAGCUGUUUUCCUAGUCCUUUCCAUUGUCACCUUUAAUCACUAAGAUUAUAAUUAUUAUAUAAUUAUCAUUAUCAUUCAUUGAUCUGAUACUCCUUGUGGGAUAUACAGUGUACAUGAAUAUUAUUUAAUCUCAUAACCUUAUAGUGUAAAUAUAAUUAUUGUCAUUCCCACUUUGCAAAUAAAUAAAUAAGAUUAGGUCACAUAACUUCUCCAGGAUCUCAGAGCUAGUAAUGGUAGAACCAGUACCAGUCCUAGUCUGAUUUAAAAGCCUGUGCCUCUAAAGACUAAGCUGUACCACCUCACAAUUCAGUUGGAUAUUUUGUUACAUACAGUUUUUUCUUGUUCUCUAAUUUCUUUGGUUACUU